GGGUAAUCAGCAAUUCAAAUGUGUCGCCUGAUUGUUGUUAAUUUAGGGGUCUUGAAUUUUUGGUUGCUGAUAUAGUGUGGGAUUAGAAGAAAAUUGCAGAAAGGAAAUUGAAUAUAUUCAAAAUGAGUGCUUGGAAAUAUUUACUUCAUUGUGCUUUAUGGCUGAUGCAGCUAUCUGGCAUUUCUUUCACGCGCUUUCAUUUUCUGGAGAUAAAGUAAAACUCAUAAGUAGAGCUCAUAAGUUUUACUAUUUUCAACUUAGAAACGUUGUGUUUCUG
rnacentral:misc_RNA from 1 species